rnacentral:rRNA from 1 species
AGGAUGCUUUUGGUGAGGUGCCGCCCGAGUUCCCUGGAACGGGACGCCACAGAGGGAGAGAGCCCCGUCUGGCUGGCCGCCAAGCCUCUGUAAAGCUCCUUCGACGAGUCGAGUACUUUGGGAAUGCUGCUCAAAAUGGGAGGUAUAUGUCUUCUAAAGCUAAAUAUUGGNCAGAGACCNAUAGCGCACAAGUAGAGUGAUCGAAAGAUGAAAAGCUUUUUGAAAAGAGGGUUAAAUAUUUUGUGAAAUUGUUGAAAGGUAAUCGCUUGUGACCAGACUUGGGCGCGAGGGAUCAUCCGGGGUUCUCUC